rnacentral:rRNA from 1 species
UACAGAGGUCUCAAGCGUUGUUCGGAUUCAUUGGGCGUAAAGGGUGCGUAGGUGGCGGGGUAAGUCAGGUGUGAAAUCUCGGGGCUCAACUCCGAAACUGCACUUGAUACUGCCUUGCUCGAGUACUGGAGAGGAGAUUGGAAUUUACGGUGUAGCAGUGGAAUGCGUAGAUAUCGUAAGGAAGACCAGUGGCGAAGGCGAAUCUCUGGACAGUUACUGACACUGAGGCACGAAGGCCAGGGGAGCAAACAGG